UUAUUAAUGGUGUAUUAAUAAGAGUAAUUAUAAUUAUUUUGCAAUAAUAAAGCCAUAAAAAAUAAUACAUUGGUAUUGUUGCAGCUGGAGUGGAUGCAGAAUUUAUUGCGUUGCGUUAAAUCGUAACACUUAUAUGAUAUCUGAACAGACCUCAGUAUAUAUUUGACAGUUCUAAGCAAGGCCCCCCCUGCCUCUAACUUCCAUAGCCCCUCGUUGUCUGGGCGGCUACUGGGAAAAUCGAAAUUCGUCAAUUGCGGGCAUUUUUCUCUGUCACUCUAAUUACGUUUUAGUGAGAGUAAAAGACAAAGAUCCCCGCAGUUUGCGAAUUUCGGUUUUCGCGGUAAGCCCCCUGUUCUCAGCACAAAAUUUGAUACUCAAGCCAAGCUAAACUUCCUAGCUGAACUAUACGUGAAAAGUAAUCCCAUAUUUUUUCUAGUGUUUGUUGGAACGACUAGCACAUCAUUUAUCCGUACAAUAAGGCAUAAUUCUUUCGUUAAAGAUAUAAUUUGAAUACUUCUUACUAUGACUGUCACAACGGGCCGCCAUUUGCGAACUAAAUAGCUCCGCGGCACAAAAUUGACGCCCCGCCCGCUUCGGCACAAUGUGUGUGGGGUCAUUUUUCGGAGCUAGUUCGACAUCUAUGUUUAUUAUCAAUCGCUGUUCGUUCCUACAUUUUUUUUAAUUUGCCGCUUUUUUCUACUGACGGAAAUGGCUUGCCUGACUUGGGCAUCUAUAAAAUGCUCAAAAACGAUGACCGACGCGUUUAUGCGUGAUGACUGAUGAAUCUAUAGGGAUUUAUUAAUAAUAAAUGGUUAGGAAGCAGAAGUUAUUUCUGACACUAAUAGCGAUACCGGGACCUUUUUGAUACCGACACCCUCAAGCGCCGUGUUGAGAUCAUUGAUCUGAAUUUUUCAUUUAUUGUUUGUUGCAGUCAAAUGAAUUCUACACGGCCAAUAAGCAACCAGAGGGCCGAUGUUUGCAUCGUAAUUCUCAAAUUGCGGGCAUCUUUCUCUUUUACUCCAAUAAAGGUAUAAUUAGAGUGACAAAGAAAGAUGCCAGCAAUUUGAAAAUUUCGGUGUUGGUGAUCGCUUUGAAGCUGCAAGCGUUCAGUCUGUAGGCUACCUUCUAUUAUGUUGAAUUGAACUAUGUGUACGUGCCUUAUGCUUGUGUUGUAUGGGAUACAAUAUUUACCAUUCUCUUCAAAAACAUGCAAUUACUCAAAGUAAUUAUUAUAAUUUAAUAGCCAAAGAUAUGAGCGGGUCUCAUAAUUUAGCAAUGCAUAGAGAUUUAGUGUUUACAGUAUGGCGACAUUGUCAGCAUUCAACAAAAUAUUCUGGAUAAGCCUCUUUUGUUCAUCGGGAACCUCUUUUCGAGACAGAGGGUCCUACCCAACCAUUCAAGACGUAGUCUCUUUCAAAACGCCCCAGCAGACAACACAGGGAGCUGGAGAGAGCGAACUAACCAUAGACAUCGAAAAAUUGGACGUCCAUAGAUUAAAACAAGACGAUACCGCAUUUCGCAAUCAACUGAUGGCCGGCCUUGGAGGCGAUCUACUUCUACAAGACGAGAAAAUAACAAAAGAUACUAGACGCGUGCAGAAAUUCAUUAACCCAAUUGGAUAUGCCAUGGCAUACAAAAUACAAUUCAGAACGAAAAUGGCGGACGUCAUGUUACAACUCAUUUACAUGGCUAGAUCGAAAAUCAAAAGCUUUGAAGUUCAUGGAUAUAUCAACAGAGAAUCACCGGAGUACCGUGUAGGUUUGAUCAUACGGAAAAUGGAUAACUUGGUCUAUAAGGCUAUGAGGUAUCAUGCGGUAAUGAUAGGAAAGCAAAACCAAGGGAAAUGGGACACAGAGAGCACUUCAAUUCUAAAUUUGCACCACAAAAUUGUUAUGGCGCACGAAGAUUUCAUGCACCUGUUCUUCGUACAAAUGCAUUUACAUGAGAGGCUUGAAACAAUGAAUGGAAACCCUAUUCACUCUAGCAGUGACACAAUUGACACUACUCGUCAAGGAUAAUACAAAUUGAAUUUCAACCGUCUUCUAAACUUCAAAGCCAUUGGUUCUUGAUUUGUCGCGAUUUUUACUUCUACUAGACACUGUCACGAGUGUCUCGAAUUACGAAAAGUGUACUCAUCAAUUUACAACUAAUAAUCAGACAUAAUCCGCGGGGCAAAAUUGUUUGACAAGUAGGGAGUUCCUGUAUCGAUAAACUUAACUAUCGAUGCUAGUUCUAUAUACUAGUGAUCACUCAAGGGUUUGCUUGUAAAAAUAUGUUUUUAUUUAGAGUAAAAAAAAAAUGAAAUAAUAACUCAAUAUACUUCGUUUUUAAGACAAGACAAUUUUAUAAUUUUACUCAUCGCAUUUUUUUAGCCAAGGCGGAAACGCUUAAUGCCCGAAAAUAUGGCACAAAUUCUGGUCGUUUACUUUAACAAUAGUAAAUGGGACACUCACGAAGAAAAAAAAUUGUAAAAUUGUUUUGUCUUGUCUUAAAAACGAAGAAGAGUACAUUGAGUUAUUAUUUAAUUAUUACUUUUACUCUUAAUAAAAAUAUAUUUUUACAAGCAAACUCUUGAGUGAUCACUAGUAUAUAGAACUAGCCUCGAUAGUUGAGUUUAUCGAUACAGGAACUCCCUACAUGUCAAACAAUUUUGCCCCAAGGAUUCCUACGUCUGAAUAUUAGUUGUAAAUUGAUGAGUAGACUUUUCGUCCUUCGAGACACUCGUGACAGUGUCAAGUAGAAGUACUGUUAAAUCCGCUACUUGACGCUAGAUGUCGACUAUAAAAAAUAAUAAGCGUUUUGGUAAGAAAACUGAUUGAGCACUAUGCUUACUUAUUUAACUUAUUAAAUAAAGAAAUAAGUAGGUACCAUAAAAUUAUUACUCGUAGUUCAAAAUAAUCAGCUAUUUAAAUUGCCAAAUAUAAAAGCCGAUUUACGAGCUAGGUGGUUUUAGAAUUCCACGUGUAAUGAUCGCCCCUAUGAAAAGCAAGAUAAUAUUAUUUUUAACAUGUUUAUUCAUUCAUUCAUUAGGUGUGGCAGAAUCGAAAAAGAAGUAUCCCAGAAUUCAAGACGUGGUUUCUUUUUCCGAAAAAGACAAUUUGAACUUCAUCAACCGCUUAGUCAAAAAUAUGAAAUACUAUUUAAACAUGGAACAAUUCAGAAGCAACGAAGAGUUGUUCCGGCGUCAGAUCAGAGGUAACUUAGAGGAUCCAGUUCUUCUAGAAGGAAAACUGUUUGGAAACAGACGCGUGCAGGCAAACAUAAAAAAUCCAAAAGGGGACCCCACAGAAGGUUAUCUGAAUGCUAUUAACCUACAGUUCCGAACUAAAAUCCUAGAUUCCAUGUUACAACUCGUUUAUAUGGCUAGACAUUAUUUGAAACUAUUCGAAAGAAAUGAGUACAUGGACAAGACAUCCGACGCCUACCGUAUCGGGGUGAUCGCUAAAAAACUGAUGUAUAUGUACAAGAAAUCGAUUAGGAUUUUAGAGGUUUUAAACAUAAGGCAGAGAAAGGACAUCUGGGCGAUAUAUAAUACUACAACGCCCGCGUUGACAUUGCACCAUAAGGUGGCUAAGAUGCACGUAGACUUUAAUUACUACUACGAAGUGCUGAAGAGGCUGCACGUUAAGAUCAGGCAGGUGAAGCAUAUGCCUCGAGAGAUUCCACCUCUUAAGAAAAAGAAAGAAGUUUGGUGAUUGGAGUAGGUAUUUGGAGUGCAAGCGCUGGGGAAAAUACACCGUAUUAUAGUCCGUUUUAAGACGAAAGUGAAGAAACCGGCUUUCCAUGCAAACGGAGUCCCUAUUAUUUUUUCUGGAAUUUAGGAUUAUUGAAGAUAUAUUGAAACAAUUUUAUGUACCUAAUAUCAAACCGCUAUGUCCCAUUGCAAUUUAAAAAAAAAUAUAUAUUAUAAGGAUAAGAGUCAGACCAUGCCAAGUUAGCAGUGAUUUUGAUAGCAUUUAAGUAAACGCCAUAGUUUCAUAGAAGUUUAACGCUUAAAAUAACACUAGCACAGUCUGGGCUAUCAAAAUCGCUGCCAACUUAGCAUGGUUUGACUGUAGGAGCAUUUAAAAAAAAAAUCGAAUUUGUUUUUCGCUCCUAACUCAUAAUAAUCAAAAAUUGAAAAACAUAAAAUAAACGAAGGGGAAUAUUCGCUGUUGCAAACUCUUUUUAACACGCUUUUAUUAGGUCGACCUGUAAGUACCCCUAGUGUACAUUUAUUCGAUAGCGAAACGUGACGUACGCGUUUGCAUUAAGUCUCAUUUUGUAUGGGAUUUAGAAACAGGGCGCCAAGCGGGACGUGUUGGAAACUCAAAAUCCCAUACAAAAUGACACUUAACGCAAAUGCAUACUUCACGUUUCGCUAUCGAAUAAAUUUACACUAGGGGCUCUGUAUGUAACUAUGUAAUGGAAUCUAAGGUAACUAAUUUAACCAUCUUCCAAGGAUCGUAGUGUCAUGAAAAUUGGCAGCUGUAUGUAGUUCUGAUGAGAAUACAAUAAUAUGGUACUGUCGAACUGAUCUGAUGAUGUAGCCCGUAGAUAUGAACUGGAACUUCAUGAUGGAACAUCGUAUCAUAGCUGUGUUUGGAAUUGUUAGAAAAUUCUUGUAAUGAACUUUGACCACGAUUAGGUUUCAAGGUCUGAUGAUGAAGCCGGAAGAUAGGCACUGGCAUUCCAUGAUGGAAUAUCGUAUCAUAGUCGUGUUUACAGUCGUGAGAAAGGUCACCUAAUGGACUUUGAACACGAUCAAGUUUCAAGGUUAUAACAAACCUAUUAUAUAUUAUUAUUAUAUAAUUAUAGGCGAGCAGCUAUUAAGCUGAUGAGCCUAUGUCACACAGUGUCCUGUAUUAUACAGUUCAAAGUUUGUAAAGUCGUAUCACAUCACUUAGUAACAUCAGUCUAACUUAUUGUUUAAAAGCCACUUGUCCAAUCUGUUUUUAAAAACAUUAACCGAGGGAGCAGUUACAACACUAUCCGGUAAACGGUUCCAAGCCGCCACGACACGGUUGGACAAAGAAUGGUAUGCAGCUUUAGUAGUAGUGGGAGUGCGAACUAUUCUUAGGCUGUGACUAAAUAUUUUUGGUUUUUACGUGCAUUUAUAAAAGCGUGUUUUUCUAGUGUUUUUUAAACUAUUAAGUUAUUAAAUCAGCAGUGUGUGUAAAUCGGAAACUAAAACACGUGAAUAUAAUUAUCCAUACCUUCCCUCCCGAGCGCAGAAACAAGGACCAGCUAGUUCUAUAGGUACCUGUCACUUCAAAGGCCGCAACCGAUUUUAUUCUGUCACGAGGUAAAUGCGGUAAAGGUGUAUCAGUAUGUUUCAUCGAGAGCCUCUUUCAGGGUAUGCAUUUGGAAACGGUUGAACUGACGAGUCUUCUAAUUCCUGUGAUCCAAUAUGUAUCUCUGAGUGCUGCCAUUAGUUUAGCAGGGCCGGCAUGGUACAUCAGAGGAUGUUUGGAAGCUAUCUUAUAUAUACUAUCUUUGGAUUAUCAAAUGUUUGCCCGGUAUGUAAAUCGGACAGACAAAGUCGGCAGGCUCAUCGCUGAGAACUAAUGUAGUGCGAAUCCUCAUUAAGCCUUCUUCGUCCUUGAACAAUCUUCAGGAGUCUCUUUUCAGCAGACUGGAACUCUUCACAGGUCAGUUCACCACUGCUUAUUAUGUGAAUUUUUACAGUUGUACGAAAAUCUCAAUAUCCACCCUACCAUUCUUACGUGUAUUUAAAGAAGUAAGACAGUGUAGACAGAAAUGUAGUGUUGUUAGCGAGAACUACUUUCCUGGCUUCUUUGUUGACUUCUUGCUCAUCUACAUUCAAUUGAGGUUUAUUGUACAUAAAAAGUAAAUUUUAUGGUAAAUCUGGCAAUGAAAAUGAUGUUUUACAUUUGUUUUUAUAAAACCUAGCUUUUGCAAAGGUUACUUGUCACUUUUCGCCAUCUAUCAAUAAGGAUCAAUAUGGAGCGUAGUCUAAAUAGACUACGCUCCAUAAGGGCAUCAUCGCCAUCAAAAAGGCGUUUUGUAAGUUACAAUAAGAUGUUUUUAGGGUUCCGUAGUCAACUAGGAACCCUUAUAGUUUCGCCAUGUCCGUCUGUCUGUCUGUCUGUCUGUCCGAGGCUUUGCUCCUUGGUCGUUAGUGCUAGAAAGCUGAAAUAUGGCAUGGAUAUAUAAAUUAAUAAAGCCGACAAAGUCGUACAAUAAAAUCUAAAAAUUUAAUUUUUUUUAGGGUACUUCCCCUACACGUAAAGUGGGGGUGAAAUUUUUUUUUCGCUUCAACCCUAGAGUGUGGGGUAUCGUUGGAAAGGUAUUUCAAAACUAAUAGGGGUUUUCAAGCAACAUUUUUUGAUAAAGUUAAUAUAUUUGGAGAAAAUCGCUCCGAAAGAAAAUAAAUGUGUCCCCCCCCCCUCUAACUUUUGAACCAUAGGUCCAAAAAAUAUGAAAAAAUCGUGGAAGUAGAGCUUAAGAAAGACAUUAAAUGAAAACUAUAGCGGACGUGAUCAGUUUAGCUGUUU